CUCAACCGGGCGGAAGUGACACGCAUCGAGGGCGCCCCGCUUCCGGAAGUAAGUGCGGUCUAGCAGCUCUUGGGCACCCGGCGGCCGCUUUGUAGAGGCCUCGCUGACGUCAGAGGAAACGUCCCAGAUUUUUUUCCCGUUUGUUAACCAUUGCUACUGCGACCUGUUUUUCUUUCUUUCUUUUUUUUUUUUACUGUGAAUAGUGAAAAUUGCUCAGUCGUGUUCGACCCUUUGUGACCCCAUGAACUAUACAGUCCAUGGAAUUCUCCAGGCCAAAAUACUGGAGUGGAUAGCCGUUCCCUUCUCCAGGACAUCGAACCAGAGUCUCCCGCACUGCAGGCGGAUUCUUUACCAGCUGAGCCACCAGGGAAGCCCUUAAGCGUCCCCCCUCCUUUUUUUUUUAACUGAGUACCUUUUGUUUACAGUGCCUAUUGUUCUGUUACCUAUUAUUGGUUCUGCUCAGACUGGCGAUUGGCUAAUGGCGCCGUCAAUCUCCAGGGGAAAGGACUAAGUUUCAGACACCUCGGAAAAAUUACUGUGAGCCCCUUUUUGCUGAAAUGAAAAGUUCUGGAGAAAACCCAAGAGAUUCGGGAAAUGGUGCCAGGUCAACUCGAGACACCCCUAUUCCACCCACACUUCAGAAUGUUGGAGACAUUCUGAAUGUUGGAGAAUGAGAAGACAGAAGACCUUUAUAGAACCUUUUAAUUCUUACCAUGUAGAUAACCAGAUUCUCCAGCUAUUGGAAGAAAUGCUUUUUGUCUGCAGCAUGAAGCGAUUUAAAAGUACUGGGUGUUCAAUGUGAGCUUCUAAUGAAAUUUGGGCUGAAAGGAUGACUAGAAGAUGACUAUUAAAAUCUCUCCUGUAACCUAGUCUCUGGACCCGGAUCCCUCCUCUCCAGUGAGACUCUUUGAGGACCAAUCGCGAUGCCCUGCACCCACUGCGGAGCCAUUGAGUUGGACAGUGAGGGCGCCACAUCCCUGACAGACAGCAUAGUGCAGCUCUGACAAAGGCCUUAUUUUUCUGAUGUAAAUCAUCUUUUUACAUCUGUUUGUAAACAUGUUUAAAGAAUGGACCUAGGCAUACAUUUUUAGAUUUUGAUGACAUAGCCAUUUUGGAUAGUAUAAGCAGCAAAUGUAACUUUUACUUUUUCAGCAGCACAUUAAAAAAGCCAGCAAGAGAUGCGUUCAGAUCAUGGUGCCUUAUUAUGCAGCUGAUAUCUUGGUAGACAGAGACGGCAUGUCUCUUUACAUGUGCGUUCUGCCUUUAAUUUCCUUGUACAAUUCAUUGUUAUCAUUCUGUUUUUCUAUUAAUCUUUUGUGAACUUCCUGAAUAUGUGACAAAGUAUGUACAGUCUACUUUUGAACUAUUUUUAUUACAGUAUUAUUUACUGCUUUCUUUCAAUAAAGUACUGAAGCAAAAUUUCCCAC
ensembl:lncRNA